GACGAACGCUGGCGGCGUGCUUAACACAUGCAAGUCGAACGGACAGGCCCUGCUUUUGUUGGUUUCUCGAUUGGCGAACGGGUGUGUAUCACGUGAGUAUCCUGCCCUUGUCUUUGGGAUAACUUUUGGAAACUCGGGCUAUUACCGGAUAGGAGCUCCUGCUGCAUGGUGUUGGUUAGAAAGUUUCGGCGGUUGUGGAUGUUCUCGCUGCUUAUCCGCUUGUUGGUGUGGUAGUGGCUUACCAAGGCUUUGACGGGUAGCCUGCCUGAGAGGGUGACCGGCCACAUGGGGACUGAGAUACGGACCAGAAGGCUACGGGAGGCAGCAGUGGGGAAUAUUACAGAAUGGGCGGAAGCGUGAGACAGAAACGCCGCGUGCGGGAUGACGGCCUUCGAGUUGUAAACAGAUGUCGAAGGAGACGAAGAGUGAGUGACGGUAAUGGGUAAAGAAGCAACGGCUAACUACGUG
rnacentral:rRNA from 1 species